rnacentral:rRNA from 1 species
GGAGUGAUCUGUCUGCUUAAUUGCGUUUCAAAUUUUUAACCGAGGACCGGGUUUUGGUUUGGCUAGUGGUCCUACGAUGACUGUGAACUGUCAUGUCUUCGGAUGUACGACUAUCGGUCUAGGAUCACAUGACUUGCCCCUGGGACUCUUUUGAACGCAACGGACGUGAUUGCAACCCCUUGUUGAGAUUAGAGAUAGUCUCGAUAUUCACUGGCCAAACUGGCUGCUUUAUGCAGUCUUGUUGAAUGGUGGAUAAACUCGGGGGACUGCUGACUAUAACCAUUUCUCAAAACAGAGGAAGGUUGCGGCAAUAACA